AGUAAGGGUGUAGGCAGUUUGAGACUCGGCCGAUAUGAGACAACAUAGUAAGGCAAUAUAUGAAUAUUCAUUAGCCGGGCGGUGCUGCGGGCAGGGCAGCGGUUACAACACAGUGGCAGUUGAAGACAACCCCGGAAUGAACAAAGAACAAAUAUAGAUUUGGCAUCCAACCCCUUCUACAUCGAAAUAAUAUCGACCAAAUGAAGAAAUCUAAUCAGGAGCCUGCUUGAUAAACCACCUCCGAAUGAGGAACCUGUUCAAUGCCUUCACCUUCUACCUUCUCAAGGUUGAUUUUAUAAUUUCCCAUUUGCAAUAUAAAUAAAUGAGAAGGAAAGGGGACUAGAAAUAUACUUCCUUUAAGGGGAUUUAUAGGCAAAAUCUGCAUUGAGCUUGUAAUUGUUGAGAGGUACCUUUUGGUAUAAAAUGUCGAUAAGUAAUGAUAAUAGAUUUAG